AUUAUUAUUAUUAUCAUCAUCAUCUAGGAGGUUUGGUUGUUAAACGUGUAACUUUUUCUUUUUAGAAGUGUUAAAUCUUAAGAAGGUAGGAACUAGCCAAUGAGUCUUUACAAUUAGCUGGUUAAUCAAGUCAUUUGGUUUUAAUUUGAAGGCAUGUGUUACUAGUGAGUGACUUUGUGAUUUCUCCAUCUCUCUUCUUGAUUGCAAUGCUUUUCAUUUCUUUCUUUACUAACCUCUACACUUCCAGUUAUUGUUCAUAGCACCUAAGAUAGGGCACUUCUUUUUCCAGCUUUAUUUCAAGCUUGAAUCUUAUACUAUUGCUACAUCAGUGAAGACACUAAAUAUAAGCAUACUUUAUUAACUUCAUGAUAAAGUUAAAGCAUAGAAGCAAAUCUACUAACCAUGUUUUCAAUGUAUAGAUCCUAGAUACUUCUUUAAAUUGUAACCGUAAAAUCCAUAAAGAAUUUAAAGUUUUACCAAUAAAAAGUGUACUAGUAAGCCUGUUACAUGACAGGGCCUACAUCAUAUGGUCCUCAUGGAAGAACUAGAAGAAAGAGAAAAUUAUUUAAUAUUUUCAGAAUUUUAAGGACCUGGUACAAAACUUAUAACCUAACCAACUUUGCUUCUGGAGUAGCAUUGGCUAAGAGAAGCAUUUGUUGUGGUAAAAUAUUGGAGUCCUUGAAAUAUCAAUUUGAUGAGUUAAUCUAAGUAGUAUUUUCACUUAAACAUUUAGAUUUCAAGUUUAACUUGUCCGAUUCAUAUAUUUUAUAUGUUGAAAAGUAUAGACUUGGUAACAAAUACAUGAAGCCAAUUAAGAAGCAUGAAACAAUACUAAGAAUUGUGCUUUAAAAUAGUAUUAGCUAACUAUAGAAUCUAUUGCUAGAGAAAAUAUGGAAAUCUUUGAAAUGAUAUUUUUAUGUCAAUAGAACUAAUAUUUUGGCUCUCCUAUACACUGUUGCUUCUAGUUGGUUACUGACUAGUCUUCAUUAUCAUUAUUUUUAUGUAGGAAGGGACAUCAAACUAUUUUA
rnacentral:misc_RNA from 1 species